CUACUACUCCCUCCGUCCGAAAAUACUUGUCAUUGAAAUGGAUGUAUCUAGAUGUAUUUUAGUUCUAGACACAUCCAUUUUGAUGACAAGUAAUUCCGGACUGAGGGAGUAUUAU
rnacentral:pre_miRNA from 1 species